GUUAACAGUCAGUUGAGCAAAGUUCAUUUCUUCGUAUUUAUAUAGCAUUGCAGUACAUUAUAAUCGAACACAUUUUCUGAUCGAAUAAAAUUCAGUACAAUUCUCUCCAUUCUAUUCAAUAUGGUAUCAUAGCUUUAGUAUGCUUUUUCUAUUUGCGUUUUUCCAAUUCCUUUGGGAACUCUUAUUCAUUAAACAAUUGUGUUCAAAACCUUUCUAAUUCAUCAUGGCAACAAAUAUAGAUGCCUCAAAUCAGAAUCAAUCGUCCUCAUCAAUUUGCAAUUUCGCCAUUGAUGAUGGAUUUAGUCCAUUUUUCAUUCAUCAUGCAGAUAACCCAGGGUUUAACUUUGAUUCACAAUCUCUAAUUGGAGACAAUUAUGCUUCUUGGAAUCGAGUAGUGAUGAUUGUUUUGCUGUAAACAACAAGCUCGGAUUCAUUGAUGGAUCCAUUUCUCAGCCUGAAGGUAACGAUGACCUCCUUAAUAGCUAGAUUCAUUACAACAAUAGCGUGAUUUCAUGAUCCUUAAUUUUGUACCUAAAGAGAUAUAUGCAAGUGUCUUUUGCUCUGAUUCUGCACAUGACAUGGAUUUAUCUAAAGGAAAUAUAUCAACAGAGGAAUGGACAUCGUAUAUUUCAAUUGAGGCAUGCAUUAUUGAAUCACACAAAAGGACAAUGCUUUGUUAGGACAUAUUUCACCAAAUUGAAGAUGAUCUUGGAAGAACUAAGUAAUUACAGGCCUAUAUGCUCGUGGAUGGUGAAACUGUGGAGGAACCAAAAAACUUGCCGAACACUAUCACAUGGAGUAUGUUAUGUCAUUUCUGGUUAAAUGAUUCAUUUUCCCAAGUCAGGGGCAGUUAUUUUGAAUGGAUCCUGUGCCUCCAAUAAACAAUGUUUUCUAUCUUGUCUCUCAAGAAGAACAUCAAAGGAAUGUUAAUAUCGAUGCCUAUGUUUCUCGUUCUGGUUUUGCUGAUUCCAUGGCUUUCUACACCAAAAAUGAUCUCAAAAAAACCAAUGUAGGAUAGUUGCAUAAUAAUUUCAAAAGGAGGAAAGACCUAUUGCACAUAUUGUGGUUACGCAGGCCAUGCUGUGGACAAGUGCUAGAAAUUGCACAGUUAUCCUCCUGGAUAUAAGAUUAAGCAGAAAUCUGCAUUAGCAGCCAAUCAAAUGGUAACAAUCAAUCAAAUUAUGUUGUUGCUAAUCAAGUUUCUAUAUCUAUUUUAGAUCAAACACAGGGAAAUGUUGGAGAAUUCAUGCAGACCUUGAAUCCUACACAAUAUCAGCAUUUGAUGAAAGUGUUGAGUAGUCAUUUGGCAUCUAAAAAGAUGAUGCAGCAGCUGAUAUACAAUAUAAUCAAGUGUCAGGUACAUGUUUUUCCAUCUCACUUAAUCCAUUGCUCAAUACACCUAGACAUUGGGUAGUGGACUCAGGAACAACCAGCCACAUUUGCUUCAACGCUUUUCAUACAAUGAAACCAACACAGAAUGCUUAUGUUAUAUUGCCAAAUUGUAUGAGAAUCCCUAUAGAGUUUAUUGGUACAGUGAAAAUUGCUACGAAUCUGACACUUGAAGAUGUGUUGUUUGUGCUACAAUUCAAAUCAAUUUGUUAUCAAUUAGUUCCCUAACCAGACCUUGAGGUCAAGUUUCUGAUUGAUUCAUGCAUUAUCCAGGACCUGCACAGCUUGAAGAUGAUUGACAAGGAUAGAAAAGUUGCUGGUCUAUACAUAAUGAGUGAUAACUCAUCUGGCUUAGCACAAAGUAUUCCCUUGAAAAUGUAUGUGUAUCUAUUUCUAAUGUUGUAAAUAUGUGCACUUGGCAUCAUAGACUAGGCCACUUGUUCUUUCAAAAGUUAAACAUGAUAAAAGAUCAAUUAUAUUUAGUUUGUAAUAAGCAUAGGAAUCAUGAUUAUGUUCCUUGUGAUAUAUGCCCUUUAGCCAAACAAAGGAGACUUUCCUUUACAUUCAACAAUCAUAUGUCAACUGAUGCAUUUGACGUGAUUCUUUGUGAUACUUGGGGACCUUACCAUGUCCCAACAUACUCUAGCUACAGAUAUUUUCUUACACUCGUGGAUGACUGUACAUGUUUUACAUGAUUGUAGCUCAUGAAACAUAAAUCAAAUGUUCACUCAAUCAUUCCCAGAUUCUUUAAAAUGGUUGAGACUCAGUUUCAUAAAAUUAUCAAGAAAUUCAGGUCAGACACUGUAGCAAAGCUAUAGUUUGUUGAAUUCUUCAACUUAAAAGGAGUUAUUCAUCAAUUUUUGUGUGUGGAGAGGCCUGAACAAAAUUCAGUGGUGGAAAGAAAGCAUCAACAUCUUCUUAAUGAGGCUAGAGCUUUGUAUUUACAGGCUCGUGUACCUAUUCAUUUUUGGGGAGAAUGUAUCCUUAUAGCUACAUUUCUCAUCCAUCGAACACCAUCUUCCAUCUUAAAGAACAAAUCCCCAUGCAGCCUAUUACACAAAUCUCCAGUAGAUUAUAAUUUCCUUAGAGUAUUUGGGAAUUGCACUCUGCCUUCUCAUAGAUCAAAGUUUGAUCCCACAGCUAGAGCCUAUGUAUUUAUUGGUUAUCCCCUAGGUAUAAAAGGUUAUAGACUAUAUGAUACCAUGUCUAAGUCUUUCUUAAUAUCCAGGGAUGUUGUUUUCUAUGAAAAUGUAUUUCCAUUCCAUUUCUCAGAAAUUUGACAAUAUUGAUCAUUUUCCUAAUAUUAUUUUACCUAAAAUUGCUUCUGAUAUACCCAAUUACUUUUCAUCUACCAUCACACCUCCUAUAAUACCUAUUGAGGUUGCAAGUGAUUUACAACUUCAUCCACUUCCAAUCAAUGACCAUUCGUUGAUACCUACCAAUCCUAGAAGAUCCUUUAGACUCAGUAAUCCCUCUUCAUACCUUAAAGAUUUCCAUUGCAACCUUCUAACAAAUUCCCAUCAGGCAUUUGACAAGUCUCCUUAUCCUCUUUCCAAUUAAAUUUCAUACAAGUCCUUUUCUCCUUCACAUCAUCAUUACUUGUUAUUUGUGUCAUUAGACUUUGAACCAUAAUAUUAUCAUCAAGCAGUGAAGUAUGACCAUUGGAAAGAUGAUAUCGCAGCUGAAUUGAAAGCAAUGGAAGUGAACAACACUUGGUCCAUUGGAAAAUUGCCCAAAGGAAAACACUUUAUAGGCUGCAGGUGGAUUUAUAAGAUCAAGUAUAAAUUAGAUGGUAGUAUAUGUAGAUACGAGGGACAUUUGGUGGCUAAGGGUACACUCAACAACAGUUGAUGUGUAAACUUCAUAAAUCUAUUUACAGUCUUAAACAAGCAUCGAGGCAGUGGUUCUCAAAGAUCCCAAAUGCACUUAUCGAUCAUGGUUUUCAUCAUUUAAAAUCUGAUUAUUCCUUGUUUACUAAGGGAUCUGGGAGUACCUUUAUUGCUCUUCUGGUUUAUGUUGAUGACAUUGUCAUCACUAGGCUAGACUACUAGGCCAUUGAGUCUUUAAAAGCCUUUCUAUACAGCCAAUUCAAAGCUUAUAGAUCUGGGACAGUUAAAGUAUUUCCUAGGUCUGGAAAUUGCCAAGUCUCACAAGGGUAUUUUUUUUUUUUUUAAUCUCGACAUCAUUAUGUUCUUUAACUUCUUCAAGAUAUUGGCUUUCUGGCUUGCAAACCUGCUGUAUUACUUAUGGAUCCCAAACUUCACCUUAAUUCCUUUAAGGGAGAUCUUCUUACUGAUCCAUCAAUGUAUAGAAGGCUAGUUGAUGGCUUAUUAUAUUUAACAAUUUCUCGCCCUGAUAUUACGUGUAGUUCACAAGCACAGUCAAUUUGUAUCCCAACCACAGCAACACCAUCUUGAUGCUGGGCAUCAUCUCCUACAAUCAUCAAAGCCACUCUUGGUCAAGGCUCCUUAUUUUCUUCAAAUUCCUCUCUCUGGCUUUGAGCAUUUUGUGAUGCAGACUGGGGUUCUUGCCUUGAUUCAAGAAAAUCCAUAAUCUGCUAUGUAUUUCGAUGGCAAUGGUAGGAGCGGUUGUCUCGACAAGCGACGAUAAAAAGUGUUGGGUGUGGAUAUACGAAAUUGGGGAGAAAUAGAUUAAAUGAUAGGUAGCGUAGGGUGAGGUAAGGUAAGGUGUGAUAUGUAAAAGAUAAAUAUAACUCUGAUUUCGAAUAAAUUUAAUGAAUGUUCAUCAUACUUUACCUUAUAUUAUUAUCUGUUCAUCGAACAAUAAAACAUAACCUAUUGUUCACCCAUCUUUUCAAGUAAUUAUCCCUUCAUAACUCAUUUGAUUUCCAUCAUCAUCAACUAAUGGAAUUAAUGAAAUGUGCCACGUGACGAAUGAAAAUACAACGUGGCAUGUAAUAGAAUUUAAAUCAGGCCAAUUGAUCGCAAAAAAGCCAAUGGCAAUUUCAUUUAUUUGUUCAAUAUGUAAAACACCAUUUUCCCCAAAAUCACUUCUUUUCAGUGUCGUCCCCAAAUCAAUGAACCCUAAAAAUCAACCCCAAAAUCAAGAGAAGCUCAAAAAAGUAUCAAAUAGCAAAGACUGUUGGGAACUAAAGCAAUUUGGUAAAAGGGAAGCUUAUUGUCCGAUUCUUCAAUUGGAUAAUACCUUUGUUAAGAAAGUUAUGGAGAAGGAAACAAAUUGCGAUUCGUACGAUAAGGAUGAUAUCGUCUCAGAACACUAUAAUAUCUUACUUUUAUGGAACUUAUUUGAUCAUCAAACAUCCUGCUCCAAUACUGCGAUGUUAGAUAACAUUAUAAUUUCUUGCUUUCCUGCUCCAAUGACGUGAGGCUCCACUGCAAAUCCCUUGCAAUUAGUUCCAUCUUCUAUUUCCAAAGAUUUUGAUUUUGUUCAGGAUUAGGUAGACUCUGAUUAUUCAAAUUGGAAUUUCGAUCUUUGGUUUCAUGUUAGGGAGAAUUUGAUGCUGAUGAAAGUAAAUGAGGGAUCCUGUUGUGUUAAGAGAA
rnacentral:lncRNA from 1 species